CAGAAAGGUUUGACAGUACAAUGAAGAUCAGACAUUGGUUAAUGUUUUUGUUUUACACCAACUUCACGGGGACGCCUCAGCAGAGAAAUUAUGGGAAUCCUCAUGCCAACACAUCAGACCAACAGGAUGGGAAUGAUGCCAUAAACUAUGCUGCCCUGAAGUUCACUGACAAGAAUAGUACCAGGCCAGGAGACAGAGGAGAGAAUGGAGAGAACAGAGAGAGGAAGAAACCAUCUACUCAGGUGUGAGUCAUCAAGACAGGGUGUAACAGAGUAGGGUCAUCCAAUCAGCAUCAUUCUAAGUUAAGCCCUACCCCUCCUCUGAACUCCAAUUUGAUCUUGACAUUGUCCUUGUUACCUGGCUAUUUUGUCCGUAGAGCUCUGAGACAGGAUUGGGUCGUGGAACAGAUCUGGGGAAGGGUACCAAAAAUGUCUGCAGCAUUGAAGGUCCCCAAGAACA